rnacentral:rRNA from 1 species
GUGGGUAACCUGCCUUAUAUGGGGGAUAGCCUUUCGAAAGGAAGAUUAAUACCGCAUAAGAUUGUAGUAUCGCAUGAUAUAGCAAUUAAAGGAGCAAUCCGCUAUAAGAUGGACCCGCGUCGCAUUAGCUAGUUGGUGAGGUAAUGGCUCACCAAGGCGACGAUGCGUAGCCGACCUGAGAGGGUGAUCGGCCACAUUGGGACUGAGACACGGCCCAGACUCCUACGGGAGGCAGCAUG